rnacentral:lncRNA from 1 species
GCGGCCUCCGGGCAGGCGGACCUCCACCGGGUGGGCGCGGCAGGCGGGCUGUGCGGGCAGGAAGAGCAACGAGCUUGAGAGUGGGAGAUGGGGUGCAACGGCGGGCCUCUCCGGGGAGGUGACACUGCCGCUGAGACCCGAAUAGAAGGGCGCGACCGGCGGGGGAACAGCAGGCGCCGAGGCGGACCCAGGGGCAGCUGCGGCUGGUCCAUGUGGAGCUCCUUCAAGCCGAACAUCCGACACCAGUGUCUGUGGGGUGUGGGCCCGGCCCCAGGAGCGGGGCCUGGGCAGCCCCGUGUGUUGAGGAAGGAAGGCAGGGCCCCCGCUCCCCGGGCCUGACCCCACUGCUUCAGCCCCCUCCUGCCUGCCUACAGCCUGGCUUCGAGGGCCCAUCAGACAGAGUCUCGCUCUGUCGCCCAGACUGGAGUGCAGUGGCGUGAUCUCGGCUCACUGCAAGCUCCGCCUCCCAGGUUCACACCAUUCUCCUGCCUCAGCCUCCUGAGUAGCUGGGACUACAGGUGCCCGCCACCAUGUCCG